GCGACAGCGCGGUAAUUCGUAGGGUGCGAGCGUUAUCCGGAAUUAUUGGGCGUAAAGGGCUCGUAGGCGGUUCGUCGCGUCCGGUGUGAAAGUCCAUCGCUUAACGGUGGAUCCGCGCCGGGUACGGGCGGGCUUGAGUGCGGUAGGGGAGACUGGAAUUCCCGGUGUAACGGUGGAAUGUGUAGAUAUCGGGAAGAACACCAAUGGCGAAGGCAGGUCUCUGGGCCGUUACUGACGCUGAGGAGCGAAAGCGUGGGGAGCGAACAGGAUUAGAUACCCUGGUAGUCCACGCCGUAAACGGUGGAUGCUGGAUGUGGGGCCCGUUCCACGGGUUCCGUGUCGGAGCUAACGCGUUAAGCAUCCCGCCUGGGGAGUACGGCCGCAAGGCUAAAACUCAAAGAAAUUGACGGGGGCCCGCACAAGCGGCGGAGCAUGCGGAUUAAUUCGAUGCAACGCGAAGAACCUUACCUGGGCUUGACAUGUUCCCGACGAUCCCAGAGAUGGGGUUUCCCUUCGGGGCGGGUUCACAGGUGGUGCAUGGUCGUCGUCAGCUCGUGUCGUGAGAUGUUGGGUUAAGUCCCGCAACGAGCGCAACCCUCGCCCCGUGUUGCCAGCGGAUUGUGCCGGGAACUCACGGGGGACCGCCGGGGUUAACUCGGAGGAAGGUGGGGAUGACGUCAGAUCAUCAUGCCCCUUACGUCCAGGGCUUCACGCAUGCUACAAUGGCCGGUACAACGGGAUGCGACAGCGCGAGCUGGAGCGGAUCCCUGAAAACCGGUCUCAGUUCGGAUCGCAGUCUGCAACUCGACUGCGUGAAGGCGGAGUCGCUAGUAAUCGCGAAUCAGCAACGUCGCGGGAAUGCGAACCGGGACCGA
rnacentral:rRNA from 1 species